CAGCCGCCGCGGUAAUACGUAGGGGGCGAGCGUUGUCCGGAAUUAUUGGGCGUAAAGCGCGCGCAGGCGGUCCCUUAAGUCUGAUGUGAAAGCCCACGGCUCAACCGUGGAGGGUCAUUGGAAACUGGGGGACUUGAGUGCAGAAGAGGAGAGCGGAAUUCCACGUGUAGCGGUGAAAUGCGUAGAGAUGUGGAGGAACACCAGUGGCGAAGGCGGCUCUCUGGUCUGUAACUGACGCUGAGGCGCGAAAGCGUGGGGAGCAAACAGGAUUAGAUACCCUGGUAGUCCACGCCGUAAACGAUGAGUGCUAAGUGUUAGAGGGGUUAAACCCUUUAGUGCUGUAGCUAACGCGUUAAGCACUCCGCCUGGGGAGUACGGCCGCAAGGCUGAAACUUAAAGGAUUGGCGGG
rnacentral:rRNA from 1 species